CUGGAGGACCGAACCGACUAAUGUUGAAAAAUUAGCGGAUGACUUGUGGCUGGGGGUGAAAGGCCAAUCAAACCGGGAGAUAGCUGGUUCUCCCCGAAAUCUAUUUAGGUAGAGCCUUGAGCGGACACCUUCGGGGGUAGAGCACUGUUUCGGCUAGGGGUCCAUCCCGGAUUACCAACCCGAUGCAAACUACGAAUACCGAAGAGUGAUACUCAGGAGACACACGGCGGGUGCUAACGUCCGUCGUGGAGAGGGAAACAACCCAGACCGCCAGCUAAGGUCCCAAAGUCUAUAUUAAGUGGGAAACGAAGUGGGAAGGCUUAGACAGCUAGGAUGUUGGCUUAGAAGCAGCCAUCAUUUAAAGAAAGCGUAAUAGCUCACUAGUCGAGUCGGCCUGCGCGGAAGAUGUAACGGGGCUCAAAUAUAGCACCGAAGCUGCGGCAUCAGUAGCAAUACUGUUGGGUAGGGGAGCGUUCUGUAAGCGGAUGAAGGUGAAUCGAGAGGUUUGCUGGACGUAUCAGAAGUGCGAAUGCUGACAUAAGUAACGAUAAAACGGGUGAAAAACCCGUUCGCCGGAAGACCAAGGGUUCCUGUCCAACGUUAAUCGGGGCAGGGUGAGUCGGCCCCUAAGGCGAGGCUGAAAAGCGUAGUCGAUGGGAAACGGGUUAAUAUUCCCGUACUUGGAUAAACUGCGAUGUGGGGACGGAGCAGGUUAGGUUAUCGCACUGUUGGAUAUGUGCGUUUAAGUUUGUAGGUGUGAAGUUUAGGCAAAUCCGGACUUCUUUAACACUGAGAGAUGAUGACGAGGCUCUACGGAGCUGAAGUAACCGAUACCACACUUCCAGGAAAAGCCACUAAGCUUCAGGUUUAUCUAAACCGUACUGAAAACCGACACAGGUGGUCAGGUAGAGAAUACUCAGGCGCUUGAGAGAACUCGGGUGAAGGAACUAGGCAAAAUAGCACCGUAACUUCGGGAGAAGGUGCGCCGGCGUAGAUUGUAGUCCCUUGCGGAUGAAGGUUGAACCGGUCGAAGAUACCAGCUGGCUGCAACUGUUUAUUAAAAACACAGCACUCUGCAAACACGAAAGUGGACGUAUAGGGUGUGAUGCCUGCCCGGUGCUGGAAGGUUAAUUGAUGGUGUAAUCGAAAGAGAAGCUCCUGAUCGAAGCCCCAGUAAACGGCGGCCGUAACUAUAACGGUCCUAAGGUAGCGAAAUUCCUUGUCGGGUAAGUUCCGACCUGCACGAAUGGCAUAAUGAUGGCCAGGCUGUCUCCACCCGAGACUCAGUGAAAUUGAAAUCGCCGUGAAGAUGCGGUGUACCCGCGGCUAGACGGAAAGACCCCGUGAACCUUUACUAUAGCUUGACACUGAACAUUGAAUUUUGAUGUGUAGGAUAGGUGGGAGACUUUGAAGUAGUCACGCCAGUGAUUAUGGAGUCGUCCUUGAAAUACCACCCUUUAACGUUUGAUGUUCUAACGAAGAUUACGAAACGUGGUCUCGGACAGUGUCUGGUGGGUAGUUUGACUGGGGCGGUCUCCUCCCAAAGAGUAACGGAGGAGCACGAAGGUUUGCUAAUGACGGUCGGACAUCGUCAGGUUAGUGCAAUGGUAUAAGCAAGCUUAACUGCGAGACAGACAAGUCGAGCAGGUACGAAAGUAGGUCAUAGUGAUCCGGUGGUUCUGAAUGGAAGGGCCAUCGCUCAACGGAUAAAAGGUACUCCGGGGAUAACAGGCUGAUACCGCCCAAGAGUUCAUAU
rnacentral:rRNA from 1 species